rnacentral:rRNA from 1 species
AUUGAACGCUGGCGGCAUGCCUUACACAUGCAAGUCGAACGGUAACAGGUUAAGCUGACGAGUGGCGAACGGGUGAGUAAUGUAUCGGAACGUGCCCAGUCGUGGGGGAUAACUGCUCGAACGAGCAGCUAAUACCGCAUACGACCAGAGGGUGGAAGCGGGGGAUCGCAAGACCUCGCGCGAUUGGAGCGGCAGAGAACAGAUGGGGUAGUUGGUGAGGUAAAGGCUCACCAAGCCGAAGAUCUGUAGCUGGUCUGAGAGGACGACCAGCCACACUGGAACUGAGACACGGCCCAGACGCCUACGGGAGGCAGCAGUGGGGAAUUUUGGACAAUGGGCGCAAGCCUGAUCCAGCCAUGCCGCGUGCGGGAAGAAGGCCUUCGGGUUGUAAACCGCUUUUGUCAGGGAAGAAAAGGUUCUGGCUAAUACCUGGGACUCAUGACGGUACCUGAAGAAUAAGCACCGGCUAACUACGUGCCAGCAGCCGCCGUAAAAC